CCCUAGUAACUGCGAGUGAAGCGGGAAAAGCUCAAAUUUAAAAUCUGGUGGUCUUUGGCCGUCCGAGUUGUAAUUUAGAGAAGCGUCUUCCGCGCUGGACCGUGCACAAGUCUCCUGGAAUGGAGCGUCAUAGAGGGUGAGAAUCCCGUCUUUGGCACGGAUGCCUGGUGCUUCUGUGAUGCGCUCUCAAAGAGUCGAGUUGUUUGGGAAUGCAGCUCAAAAUGGGUGGUGAACUCCAUCUAAAGCUAAAUAUUGGCGAGAGACCGAUAGCGAACAAGUACCGUGAGGGAAAGAUGAAAAGCACUUUGGAAAGAGAGUGAAACAGUACGUGAAAUUGUUGAAAGGGAAACGCUUGAAGUCAGUCGCGUCGACCGAGACUCAGCCUUGCCUUGGCUUGGUGUACUUCUCGGCCCGACGGGUCAGCGUCAAUUUUGCCCCUCGGAUAAUGGCAAGGGAAAGGUGGCACCUUUAUGGUGUGUUAUAGUCUCCUGUCGCAUGUGAGGGGUGGGAUUGAGGAACUCAGCGCGCACCUUGGUGUUGGGGCUUCGGCCCACGUCACGCGCUUAGGAUGCUGGCGUAAUGGCUUUAAACGACCCGUCUUGAAACACGGACCAAGGAGUCCAACAUGCACGCGAGUGUUCGGGUGGAAAACCCGUGCGCGUAAUGAAAGUGAAAGUUGGGACCUCUGUCGUGGAGGGCACCGACGCCCGGACCAGACCUUCUGUGACGGAUCUGCGGUAGAGCGUGUGUGUUGGGACCCGAAAGAUGGUGAACUAUGCCUGAAUAGGGUGAAGCCAGAGGAAACUCUGGUGGAGGCUCGUAGCGAUUCUGACGUGCAAAUCGAUCGUCAAAUUUGGGUAUAGG
rnacentral:rRNA from 1 species